ensembl:lncRNA
GAGUACAACACUGAAAUCACAAAGCUCAGGUCCCGACUUUGCCACUACUUAUUUUCCUCAAUAGGUAAAGAUAAAAUUAGCUGCCUUCUUUUUCUCUAACAUUGGAAAAUGUAACUUGUACUUAAACAAAUUAUAUUUUGCAGAUCGAACUAGGAAGUGCAGUCAGUGCUGGUGUGUGAUUGCAGCCAAAGACCGGGUGCAGUGCCAGAAAUGUGGUGCAUACAAGCACAUGCGUUGUUCAAAGUCUGUUUGUGGCAUCUGUAUCUUCUGUGAGAGUAAGUCACAAUAUAACUAAACAAUGUCCAAAAAUGUUUAAAGUGAAAAAAAUUUCGUAAUUUUGCCUUUGCACACCCGGACUGUGUAAUUAAAGUGGACGUUUCAAGAUCCAGUUUUUACACAAAACUAUUUUAGACAUAACUGUGUCGUAUUGUGGGGAUUUCUCUUCACAAUUAAAUUGAUAUAGUGCUGUUUAUAUCAUUCUUCUUUAUGUAACAGCACAGUGCAGCACAGCAGAGGGAAAGGAGUUGUGCAGCAUAGUAGGUGGCUAUACAGGAGGAGCAAUAGAAGUAGCCAGUGAAGAAUGUCAUCAGGGAAAGCAUCAGGCAGCGAAUGACAAAGGAAAAGUUCCUAAGGGAGAGAACAUCUGCAGCAAAUCGACAAGUAACAGUGAGAUAGGAGGACUGACAGUCAGAGAUGAAGGCACACAGACUGAAAGAGAUGAAGGUACACAGACUGAAGACAACGAAAAAGAAGCAGAAGUAUACGGCACAAGUCUGAGUACAGAUAAUGCUGCUGCUGAUGAUGUUGACAGGAUCGAUGCAGAUACAGAAUUCCAAACUGAUUCAGAAGGAACUAGUACAGUUUACAGAGUGCAUGGUCGCUUAUCUGUACCAAGCUCAAAAAAGAAAACCUACACAAUAACAGAAGACGAGAUCAAGCGCAGAAUCAACGCAGAGAACAUGUCAGUUCAUGUUUUCAGAGGUUUGAUUGGGGUAGGUAUACAUUUCGUGAUUUUGAUGUCACCUGAAAUAAAUCCGGGUUACUCGUA